UUGCCAGUGUCCAUUUCCAUGGAAACAGGAACAGGUACAGCAGCAUUCAGCAGAGCUGUUAAGAAAUCUUGGCUAUAGCAGCUGGGACUGAAAGUAGAAUGGCUGUUAUUCAAACUGAACUUACAGAUUGGGUGUGCUGGAAGGGUGUCUGACAGUUACGCUUCGGCCAGAGGCCUCAGGGGAAAUUCUGGCCAACUCAGCAGUAACUGUUCCCAGAGGCAGCUGGGCUGAACACUGCAGCAUAGCAGCUUCCAGACCCUUUAGCCUUGUCUACUAGGUGAAUUCUUGAAAAAUUUCCCACCAUUGCUACCAGCUCUUUUGAAUUAUAAACAGACUGAUUGUUAGUCUGUUGCUGUUAGUUUAACAUAACCAGGAUGAUUGGUUCAUUUCUGUCAAUCAGUGACACAAACAAUUUAGGAUGACAUCAACUGCAGCAAUUUCGUAACUAUUAAAUAACCCUUACUAUUGUGGCCUUUUUUUUCUUUCAAUCACUGUAAAGGUAGCAUGUAUUAUUUGCCCUUUCUUUAUGAAAUGGGAAUUGUUUUGGAUUGCUAUACUUUGCUAAUCUGUAGAUUGUCACUGGUCUUUAUAAAGUUCUGAUGUUUUGUUAAAUAGAUUUUGGUAAUUAAUUGCAAUUGAAGUGAAGCAGUGGAUAAGAGACAAAAGUGAAGAACUGUAUUGUACCUUAAAUUCAAUCAGUGUCAAAAAGGCUUCCUACCAAUGAUGACAGGCUAUUUUUCCCGACCAUUUAGAAACAAUAUGGACAAUUUAAGCUGUUAGCAUUAGUAAACUAUAAACAAGCAUGCUAAAUUGUUUUAACCAUUUUUUGAUGUUUCAUCUGCAAGUUACAGUUAUGUUCAGACAAACAGCUUUUCCAUUUCACUUUCUAACAGAAGUGUAACCAACAGGGUCUGCAUCCUGGGUGACAGCAGCAAUAGGGGCAGCAGCUGGACUGGCAACAGCUGUGCCUAGUGUUCUUGCCCUGGCUGCUUACCCCUCAUUAUGCUACAGCUCUCCAAGUUGCUUGCGGUUGGCCUCUGUCUUUGUACCCUGUGAUUUUACCAUAUAAUAUAAAACUCUACAUUUCAUUUACUUGAAAAUUAAUGAAUACAAAAUAAUGUUAAACCAGCACAUAACAAUUACUAAAUUGAUGAUGCUGAACUGAUGCGGGCCACUCUUGAAAAUCAGACCAUUUGACUAUCUAAGGAUAUAAGAGAUUACUUUAGGUGUCAAUUUUUAGUACUUCAUACCUAAUAUUUUUAUGGGGUAAGAGUAAUCCGCUAAUCCUAGACCUUUCUUUUUCAAAACCCCCAAAAACUUUAGAAGUUCUCUCUGCAGUUGAGAAUCUAGCAUAUUGUGUUGCUAUGUUAAUUGGGCUUCCAACUGGCAAAGGGCAAUCAUGCAAUUUAUUUAAUAGAAAAACUUAUGAGAAAGUUUUGUACUUGGAUUCAAAUGCUAAUUAGAUACAAUGUGCUUUAGAACAUCCAUAUACAACUCCAAAGGGAACCGCAGAGUGAAAUUCACUUAUCCUGAUUGGAUUAAACAGAAACUAUGCUGUACUAGGAACAAGAAAUCAAGCAAUUUGUGCAACAACAUACUCUGCCAACAUUCAAAUGUACAAUGCCAGUAAGCAAACAACUCCUGUCUUGGAAUAUAGAAUCUAAUAAAACAAAUGCAUGGACUGCUCGAUCAGGUGGAAAUGAAUGGUUGAUAAAAUUAUUUCUGCUGCUUAAUUAUUUAUGUACAAACUGCAAACAGAAUAACUUAUUUUGGUUUGUUUGUUUUUUUUGUAUUUUUGUAAUGCAUUCCAACAUUGUGUGUUUGAACAUUCUACUCUGGUAUUAUGAGGUGGCGCUUCUGCUUUGGAGAUACUGCAAAGAGAACAAGGAGGAGAAAGGAAAAUGUUUAAUGGUAAAAACAGGAUGGAGUGGAGAACAGAUGCUGUGAAAAACAGCUAUGGAGGGGCUUUGCUGAGGAGUAGCAGAUCAACUUUUUUUAAAUGGGAACAUGACCCCAAACUUUUUCCUUGGUUCUGCUCUUUCUGAUUCUUCCACUGCGUGAGGAAGGAUUCCACUGGUAAUAAUGAUAACAUUUUAUUCUUCUCCAUGAUUGUGACUUUCCCCACGGACUGACAUCUUCCUUCCUUGAAAUCUUCUCAGACCCACCUGCUUUUUUCCACAUUUCCAAAGAUUUGUUUGUGGGGCCCAGCAUCUUUCACAGUCUCUCCAAGACCCUGCCUCCCACUAAAUUAAAAUCUGUCUACUUUUGAUGUAAACAAUGCACUGUUGUUCACAGUAAAAUCUAUAAUUUUUUAAAUUCCAAAGUGACUGUUGUCCAGUCCAAAAGUCACCUGGGCUAAUGUUCCCUAUGGCAGGACCCAAGAGUGGUAAGGAGAAGGAAAAGGAAGCCUUACAGUGGGGUUUAAACUAUGUAUUAGGAAUAUUGGAGUACAACAAUAAAGGGCAGCAAGAAUGGAUUAAUUCACCCAUCACUACUUUGUCAGAUUGAAAACAAACAUCUGGGCUACCCAAUGAGUACAAAAUACUAAUCGCUGCAAACCUA